rnacentral:rRNA from 1 species
UACGGGGGGGGCAAGCGUUGUUCGGAAUUACUGGGCGUAAAGGGCUCGUAGGUGGCCAACUAAGUCAGACGUGAAAUCCCCAGGCUCAACCUGGGAACUGCGUCUGAUACUGGAUGGCUUGAAUUCGGGAGAGGGAUGCAGAAUUCCAGGUGUAGCGGUGAAAUGCGUAGAUAUCUGGAGGAAUACCGGUGGCGAAGGCAGCCCCCUGGGAUAACACUGACGCUCAUGCACGAAAGCGUGGGGAGCAAACAGG